rnacentral:tRNA from 1 species
GGGUUGCCAGGUCGGGCGGGAGGUUCAUGAUCGGCUUUGCAAGCCGGGUGUCAGGGGUUCGAAUCCCCUAGGCUCCACCA